GAAUGCCUACGGGGGGCAGCAGUGGGGAAUAUUGCACAAUGGGGGGAACCCUGAUGCAGCGACGCCGCGUGAGUGAAGAAGUAUUUCGGUAUGUAAAGCUCUAUCAGCAGGGAAGAAAAUGACGGUACCUGACUAAGAAGCCCCGGCUAACUACGUGCCAGCAGCCGCGGUAAUACGUAGGGGGCAAGCGUUAUCCGGAAUUACUGGGUGUAAAGGGUGAGCAGGCGGCAUGGUAAGCCAGAUGUGAAAGCCU
rnacentral:rRNA from 1 species